rnacentral:rRNA from 1 species
CCUACGGGUGGCAGCAGUGGGGAAUAUUGGGCAAUGGGCGCAAGCCUGACCCAGCAAUGCCGCGUGAAGGAAGAAGGCUUUCGGGUUGUAAACUUCUUUGACAGGGGAAGAGCAGAAGACGGUACCCUGAAAACAAGCCACGGCUAACUACGUGCCAGCAGCCGCGGUAAUACGUAGGUGGCAAGCGUUGUCCGGAUUUACUGGGUGUAAAGGGCGUGUAGCCGGGAAGGCAAGUCAGAUGUGAAAUCCGGAGGCUCAACCUCCGAAUUGCAUUUGAAACUGUUUUUCUUGAGUACUGGAGAGGCAGACGGAAUUCCUUGUGUAGCGGUGAAAUGCGUAGAUAUAAGGAGGAACACCAGUGGCGAAGGCGGGUUCCUGGACAUUAACUGACGCUGAGGCACGAAGGCCAGGGGAGCGAAAGGGAUUAGAUACCCGAGUAGUC